UACGAAGGGGGCUAGCGUUGUUCGGAAUUACUGGGCGUAAAGCGCACGUAGGCGGAUUGUUAAGUAGGGGGUGAAAUCCUGCGGCUUAACCGCAGGGCUGCCUUCUAAACUGUCAGGCUAGAGCACAGUAGAGGCAGGUGGAAUUCCCGGUGUAGCGGUGGAAUGCGUAGAGAUCGGGAAGAACAUCAGUGGCGAAGGCGGCCUGCUGGGCUGUUGCUGACGCUGAGGCGCGACAGCGUGGGGAGCAAACAGG
rnacentral:rRNA from 1 species